GAUGAACGCUGGCGGCGUGCUUAACACAUGCAAGUCGAACGGAAAGGCCCAAGCUUGCUUGGGUACUCGAGUGGCGAACGGGUGAGUAACACGUGGGUGAUCUGCCCUGCACUUCGGGAUAAGCCUGGGAAACUGGGUCUAAUACCGGAUAGGACGAUGGUUUGGAUGCCAUUGUGGAAAGUUUUUUCGGUGUGGGAUGAGCUCGCGGCCUAUCAGCUUGUUGGUGGGGUAAUGGCCUACCAAGGCGUCGACGGGUAGCCGGCCUGAGAGGGUGUACGGCCACAUUGGGACUGAGAUACCGACCAGACUCCCUCGGGAGGCAGGAGUGGGGAAUAUUGGACAAUGGGCGCAAGCCUGAUGGAGCGACGCCGCGGGGGGGGUGAAGGCCUUCGGGUUGUUAACCCCUUUCGCUAGGGACGAAGCGUUUUUGUGACGGUACCUGGAGAAGAAGCACCGGCUAACUACGUG
rnacentral:rRNA from 1 species